rnacentral:rRNA from 1 species
GAUGAACGCUGGCGGCGUGCCUAAUACAUGCAAGUCGAGCGAACAGACGAGGAGCUUGCUCCUCUGACGUUAGCGGCGGACGGGUGAGUAACACGUGGAUAACCUACCUAUAAGACUGGGAUAACUUCGGGAAACCGGAGCUAUUACCGGAUAAUAUAUUGAACCGCAUGGUUCAAUAGUGAAAGACGGUUUUGCUGUCACUUAUAGAUGGAUCCGCGCCGCAUUAGCUAGUUGGUAAGGUAACGGCUUACCAACGCAACGAUGCGUAGCCGACCUGAGAGGGUGAUCGGCCACACUAGAACUGAGACACGGUCCAGACUCCUACGGGAGGCAGCAGUAGGGAAUCUUCCGCAAUGGGCGAAAGCCUGACGGAGCAACGCCGCGUGAGUGAUGAAGGUCUUCGGAUCGUAAAACUCUGUUAUUAGGGAAGAACAAAUGUGUAAGUAACUAUGCACGUCUUGACGGUACCUAAUCAGAAAGCCACGGCUAACUACGUG